rnacentral:rRNA from 1 species
UGGGGAAUAUUGCACAAUGGGCGAAAGCCUGAUGCAGCGACGCCGCGUGAGGGAUGACGGCCUUCGGGUUGUAAACCUCUUUCAGUAGGGACGAAGCGCAAGUGACGGUACCUGCAGAAGAAGCACCGGCUAACUACGUGCCAGCAGCCGCGGUAAUACGUAGGGUGCGAGCGUUGUCCGGAAUUACUGGGCGUAAAGAGCUCGUAGGCGGUUUGUCACGUCGUCUGUGAAAUCCUAGGGCUUAACCCUGGACGUGCAGGCGAUACGGGCUGACUUGAGUACUACAGGGGAGACUGGAAUUUCUAGUGUAGCGGUGGAAUGCACAGAUAUCAGGAAGAACACCGAUGGCGAAGGCAGGUCUCUGGGUAGUAACUGACGCUGAGGAGCGAAAGCAUGGGUAGCGAACAGG